rnacentral:rRNA from 1 species
AUUGAACGCUGGCGGCAUGCUUUACACAUGCAAGUCGAACGGCAGCACGGACUUGGGUCUGGUGGCGAGUGGCGAACGGGUGAGUAAUACAUCGGAACGUGCACAGUUGUGGGGGAUAACUACGCGAAAGAGUAGCUAAUACCGCAUGAGAACAGAGGUUGAAAGCGGGGGAUCGUAAGACCUGCCGCAACAGGGGCGCCCGAGGGCAGAUUAGGUAGUUGGUGGGAUAAAAGCUUACCAAGCCGACGAUCUGUAGCUGGUCUGAGAGGACGACCAGCCACACUGGGACUGAGACACGGCCCAGACUCCUACGGGAGGCAGCAGUGGGGAAUUUUGGACAAUGGGCGAAAGCCUGAUCCAGCAAUGCCGCGUGCAGGAUGAAGGCCUUCGGGUUGUAAACUGCUUUUGUACGGAACGAAAAGCUUCGGGCUAAUAUCUUUGAUGUUGACGUUACCUACAGAAGAAGCACCGGCUAACUCUGUGCCAGCCGCCGCCGUAAGAC